UACGAAGGGGGCUAGCGUUGCUCGGAAUCACUGGGCGUAAAGGGUGCGUAGGCGGGUUUCUAAGUCAGAGGUGAAAGCCUGGAGCUCAACUCCAGAACUGCCUUUGAUACUGGGAGUCUUGAGUUCGGGAGAGGUGAGUGGAACUGCGAGUGUAGAGGUGAAAUUCGUAGAUAUUCGCAAGAACACCAGUGGCGAAGGCGGCUCACUGGCCCGAUACUGACGCU
rnacentral:rRNA from 1 species